rnacentral:rRNA from 1 species
AUGGCAAUGGCGGAGGCGGCAGGGUCGUCGACGGCGGCCACCGCGGUGACGGUGGUGCUGUUUAUCGUGGUGCUAGUGGUGGCGCUACUGCUGCGGCAGAGCCUGCGGCGCGCCGCGGAGCGAAGGGAGGAGGUGCGGCGCCUAGCGCGCCUCGCGGCGGAGGAAUCCGAGCUGGCGGAGCGGGAGUCGGUGCUCGCCUACUGCUCCGAGCUGUUCCCUGGCGUGCUGCACGCUGCGGAUGUGCCGGAGGCGCCGAUGUGGGCACCGCGGGAGGUGGUUUCACCGCAGGAGGAAGAGGAGGGGGUCGUGGAGGCGCCAGCGCCGCCACCGGCCGCAGCUGGGGUCUGCGCGGUGUGCUUCAGGCCGACGACGUUUAGGUGCAAACAGUGCAAGGCCGUCAAGUACUGCUCAUUCAAAUGCCAGAUAUCCCACUGGAGAAAAGGUCACAAAGAUGAAUGCCAUCCACCAAGUGCUAAUGCUAAGCCAGAUGAUGGAGCUGCAAUUUCUGUUGCAAAGGAAGGAAAUGUUGAACACCGAAGAGCUUCUGAAGAGAAUGUAGUGGCUGGUGUACAACCCGUGGCUGAAAUUAGUGUACCGGUUGCGGCUGAGUCUGAAACUUCUGGCACAAACCAUGUUGUGAAGAGCUCAAAUGAUAAAAGGAAAGAUACGCCUUUCGAAGGGGUAUCUGCUACCACAGAGAUCCCUGAAAAGGGCAAUUCUGACAAUGUGGUCAAACUUGGUCAAAUUACCCCUCAAGUAGCAUCCUUUGACAGUAAAAGGGCAGAAUCAAAUACCAAAUCUACCAAUUUUGUUGGAAAUAGUUACGUGAAGGACUUAGAUGAUAUAUUGGUUCAUAAAUCUCAAGUUUCUGCACCAAAGAUGAGUGGCCUUACCAGUUCCAUCCAUGAAGAUAUAUAUGUUCAUUGUAAGGACCAUGGCAACGCUGAGGAUGCUGAUGUUAGUAAGGAUUGCUCUCGGAUUAAUCAUAUUAGAAAACCUGCAGAUAGGAGCUAUUCCCAAAUGGCUGCAACUGCCGUACCAGCACCCAAAAGUUCUAGGACUUCUCUUCGCGUGGAAGUUGAACCGUGCAAAAUAAAAGCUACUGGUGAAGAAAAGUCUCAAGGCUUGAAAUUAGUAACGCCAGUAUUAGCUGUUGAUAAGGUUUCUUCCAUCCAUGGUGGCCGGUCUGUAGCACCUAAUCCAUCAAGAAGGGCUGAUAAUCCAACAGAUAGAGGAGGUUCAGCAGCAAAUAACCUUGCGACAUCUUUGAAGAAAAUUGUCAGGCAACAAACAACACCAAAAGUUGUGAGGCAUUAUCCUUCAGAGUUGACACUUUUUCCAUAUGAUGUUUUCAUCAAGCUCUACGACAAGGUUGAAUUGCGCCCUUUUGGUCUUCAUAACCUUGGCAACAGCUGCUAUGCAAAUGUUGUUCUUCAGUGCUUGAUGUUUACUCGACCACUUACAACAUAUCUUCUGGGAGGGCUUCAUUCGAAAAAUUGUUCCAAAAAGGCAUGGUGUUUCAUGUGUGAAUUUGAAAGACUUAUUGUGGAGGGCAAGCAGGGCAAGACUGCUUUAUCACCAACUGGGAUACUGUCCCAUUUGCACGAGAUUGGAAGUAGCUUUGGUCCUGGUAAACAAGAAGAUGCUCACGAAUUCCUUCGGCACUCAAUUGAUGCUAUGCAAUCUGUAUGCAUCAAGGAAGCCAGAAAAGGUGGCGCUCAUUGUUCAGCAGAAGAAACCACACUUGUACAACUAAUAUUUGGGGGCUAUCUGAGAUCUAAGAUAAAAUGCACAAGGUGUCAUAUUAGUUCUGAGCAAUACGAGCGUAUGUUAGAUCUUACUGUUGAAAUAGAUGGUGACAUCAGUUCACUCGAGGAAGCACUUCAGCGGUUUACAUCUACAGAAGUCUUGGAUGGAGAUAAUAGAUACCAGUGCAGCAGAUGCAAUUCCUAUGAGCGUGCCAAGAAGAAGUUGACAAUAUCGGAAGCCCCAAAUGUCCUGACUAUUGCAUUGAAAAGAUACCAGUCUGGCAAGUUUGGGAAGAUCAGCAAAGCCAUCAGAUUCCCAGAGACCCUGAACCUAUCUUGCUACAUGAACUCAACUGAUGACAAUUCUCCUGUUUACAGCCUAUAUGGAAUGGUUGUCCAUCAUGAUGUCAUGAAUGCUGCCUUUUCUGGUCAUUACGUAUGUUAUGUCAAGGACACACAUGGGAAGUGGUACAAGAUAGAUGACAGUCAGGUCAAACCUGUAUCUCUGGAAAAUGUAAUGUCGAAGUGUGCAUACAUGCUGUUCUACGCAAGGGCGCCAAACUCUGUACGACAUGCUAUGAUGGUUAACGACCCAUCAUAUGCGAAGAAGGCCAAGCAUAAGCCAAACUUGGAGCAGACACCAUUGCAACGGGGUUCCUUGAACAGACACCAAGGUGGUGAGUUGCAUAGAGAUCACAUUACAGAUAACCUCAUCCGCAGAUUUGAUGAAUUUGGGGACGCACCAUAUCCAGCGGCAGAAUCACCAAGCCCAAGUGAGAGCUCGUCGUUGUUCAGCAACUCUGAUGCUGGGUCACACAGCACCGUGAGCACAGAUAGCAGUGAAAGCACAAGGAACUCAACCAGCACUGAUGACUACGAACAGUACUUUUUUGGGAGCUCAGAUCAAAUGUAUCUGGGAGGCCCUAGAGGGGCACAUGAGGAAAUCGGCUAUACGAGCUAUUCUCGGUCGAGAUCUGCCUUGGGCACCAGCUCAUCAGGCCAGGAGGUGGAUGAAGAGAGGUCUGUGGAGCAAAGGUUUGAGGUUAGUAGAGGGGGUUGGCUUGAGGGUGGUGAAAGCUCACCCUUGUCGUACACUGACCAAAGUAAGGAACACUUGUUAACAGAACAAUAUAGGCAGUUUGGUGGUAGUGAGCAUGACCCUGGAGAAGCCAGGGGCAGUGUCUUGUUGAGAAGAUCGGCUAGAGAAAAAACCGCCCAAACAUUUUAUUGA